rnacentral:rRNA from 1 species
GAUGAACGCUGGCGGCGUGCCUAAUACAUGCAAGUCGAACGAACAGACGAGGAGCUUGCUGCUCUCACGUUAGCGGCGGACGGGUGAGUAACACGUGGAUCACCUCCCUAUAAGACUGGGAUAACUUCGGGAAACCGGCGCUAAUCCCGGAUAAUCUCUUGAACCGCAUGGUUCAAUAGUGAAAUUCGGUUUUGCGGUCACUUCUAGCUGGAUCCGCGCCGCAUUAGCUAGUUGGUAAGGUAACGGCUUACCAAGGCAACGAUGCGUAGCCGACCUGAGAGGCGGAUAGGCCACACGGGAACUGAGACGCGGACAAGACGCCUAAGGGAGGCAGCAGUAGGGAAUGUGACGCAGUGGGCGAAAGCAUGACGGAGUAACGCGACGUGAGAGAUGAAGGUCCUGGGAGCGGGAAAACCUGUUAUGAGGGAAGAACAAAUUUGGAAGUAACUAUGCACGGCGUGACGGUACCUAAUCAGAAAGCAACGGCUAACUACGUG